AGUGAACGCUGGCGGUAGGCCUAACACAUGCAAGUCGAACGGCAGCACAGUAAGAGCUUGCUCUUACGGGUGGCGAGUGGCGGACGGGUGAGGAAUACAUCGGAAUCUACUUUUUCGUGGGGGACAACGUAGGGAAACUUACGCUAAUACCGCAUACGACCUACGGGUGAAAGCAGGGGAUCUUCGGACCUUGCGCGAUUGAAUGAGCCGAUGUCGGAUUAGCUAGUUGGCGGGGUAAAGGCCCACCAAGGCGACGAUCCGUAGCUGGUCUGAGAGGAUGAUCAGCCACACUGGAACUGAGACACGGUCCAGACUCCUACGGGAGGCAGCAGUGGGGAAUAUUGGACAAUGGGCGCAAGCCUGAUCCAGCCAUACCGCGUGGGUGAAGAAGGCCUUCGGGUUGUAAAGCCCUUUUGUUGGGAAAGAAAAGCAGCAGGUUAAUACCCCGCUGUUCUGACGGUACCCAAAGAAUAAGCGCCGGCUAACUUCGUG
rnacentral:rRNA from 1 species